UACUUGAAUUGUGUUUGCACCAUGUGUGUGAAUGACUGUUUUGUACAUUUGACUGAAGAUAUUAAGACAAACUGGAGGAAGGUCAUUUACAUAUAGAGAAAAUAACAAAGGCCCCAGAAUGGAACCUUGUGGAACACCUGUCGACAAACAGAGAAGGUGAAAUGUUGUCUCUGAUUCUAAGUGACUGAGCUCCAAGUUGAAUUUACUUCAUUUGGUCAAUAAUAUUUUAUGAUUUACAGAAUCAAAAGCUUUUUUUCAGGUAAAGAAACACAACAUCACCCUUAUCAAAUAAAUGUUUUAGGUUUUAGGAACAAACAAUUAGCAGUGUUCAGUCCUCCUCCUGGUGUUUAGAUGUGAAAUCAUUUGUUAGGCAGCUCCUCUCUCUUGAUUAACUGAGUGAAUGUGAAGCAACACCUGAACAGGUGAGCAGCAGGGUCUAACAAUGAUGAACUGGGCCCGGUUCAGCUUGAAGCAGCAGUGAAAAUCCCCACUCCUUCUCAGGAAGACUUUUAGCAGAACUCCUGAGAUUCUUCAGAACCGGAGCUUUUCUCUGCAGAGCAGGAAAUCAAGUCUGAACUGGAGAAAAGAGGAAGCUGCUGCUUUCUGAGAACCCCACUGAGCAGGAACGAGGUUGUUUGGGUCUGACAGCUGGAUAUAAACCCAGCAGGUCGGAGUCGUCCUGCAGAACCUGAGCCUCCAUCCCAACAGAACUUUUGUAGUGUGGAAGAACCAUGAAGACUCUGGUGACUCUCAGCCUCCUGGCUCUCCUCUGUUUCAUGUAUCACAGCUCUGCAGGUAAGCUCAGAACCUCUGCUUGUGUCGACUCGUCUGGGAGUCGGGUCGGUGCUGACUUCUGUUUGUGUCCACAGCUCCGGAACGUCCAGGGCUGGUGUCGGGUGGGUUCUGCUGUGAGGAAAACGAGAAGGUUAUAAUCCCCAAGAACAAAGUGAAGGAGCUGAAGAUGAGCCCAAGCCACUGCUUUCUCAAGUCUCUGAUAGUCACCACUGAGAUGAAUCACAUCUUCUGCAUUGAUCCCACAUGGAGCUGGGCUCAAACUCUGCAGGAACAUUUCAUCAGGACCAAAGCCGCCUCCACUAAACCUGACAAACUCUAGUUUCUGUCUGUACAAAUGUUACAUUUAAAUUAUUUUUUAAUAAAUUAUGUUGACUUUU